rnacentral:rRNA from 1 species
UUGGAGGGCAAGUCUGGUGCCAGCAGCCGCGGUAAUUCCAGCUCCAAUAGCGUAUAUUAAAGUUGUUGCAGUUAAAAAGCUCGUAGUUGAAUUUCGGGAUCAAUAUAUCGGUCGUGCCUUGGUACGUACUGGUAUCAUUGGUUUCUCCUUUCUGACGAACCAUGAUGUCAUUAAUUUGGUGUUAUGGGAAGUUAGGACUGUUACUUUGAAAAAAUUAGAGUGUUUAAAGCAGGCUUUAGCUUGAAUACAUUAGCAUGGAAUAAUGAAAUAGGACGUUCGAACCUAUUUUGUUGGUUUCUAGGAUCAACGUAAUGAUUAAUAGGGAUAGUUGGGGGCAUUAGUAUUCAAUUGUCAGAGGUGAAAUUCUUGGAUUUAUUGAAGACUAACUACUGCGAAAGCAUUUGCCAAGGAUGUUUUCAUUAAUCAAGAACGAAAGUUAGGGGAUCGARGACGAUCAGAUACCGUCGUAGUCUUAACCAUAAACUAUGCCGACUAGGGAACGGAUGAUGUUAAUUUUUUAAUGACUCAUUCGGCGCCUUACGGGAAAC